GGGAAUAUAGCUCAGUGGCAGAGUACCUGUAUGGCAAGCAGGAGGUCCUGGGUUCAAUUCCCAGUGUCA
rnacentral:tRNA from 1 species